GAAAAAAAAAAAAAGAAAGAAAGUGACUUUCUCCUGUGGAUCCAGAGAGUUUGAACUCAUCAGAUAUCCACACCACACCUGCCAUGUGCCAAGGCCUUCUGCUAAGCACACAUCAUCUUUUUGUUUUGUUUUGUUUUCAACAGAGACAAGGUCUCACUAUGUUGCCCAUGCUGUCUUGAAUUCCUGGUCUCAAGCCAUCCUCCUGCCUCAGCCUCCCUGAGUGGUAGGAUUACAGGCAUGAGCCACCGGGUCUGGCCAAGCACACAUUAUCAGGGAGAACGGAGGGUCCUAGCAGAGAAAACUUCUGAAUUUUCCGGCCCCUCUGACAACUGGAGUUAAGAGGACUGACUGACACCACAAAGUGACUGCUGGAAAGAGAAACCAGAGGGCAGGUGCAGAGGGAAGGCCUUCGCUGUGGGAACGUCACCAUACCCUCGCAAGUGGGGAGAGAGAUGAGGAACUGGUGGGAGUCCCACAGCAGCUUCCCUUGCAGACCUCUCCCACAUGUGUGCCCGUGUGUGAGAAAUGGAAGAGGGCUUAGCUGGGGGUUCGGCUUAGGGAUGCAGGAAAGGUCGAGCUCUGAGGCUGUGAUGGCACACCAAGGGCUUCUCCGUCCUCAGCAGAGCAGCAAGGGAAGCAGUAAGGCUAGUGUGGGUUGCUGAGAAGACAGGCUCAAGACAUGUUCCUUAAGUGUCAUGUGCCAGACCCCAGUGGCCCUCUGUCAUUCCUAGGCAAGGUCUUGGGAAGACAGAUGAUAAUGAGGGGAACCAGGCCCUGCAGAGACACAUUUUUGCCAAGCCCCUCGGUUAGAGCACAGCUGAGACUUUAAACCCCAAAGGUGGGUCUUUUGUAAUCUGGUCUUGGCUUGCUGGAAAAGGCUAUCAGGGGCCCAGGAAGGGGUUGAGAGAGCCCAGUGCCCACCAGCCUGUGGGAAGCCAGGAACUCCCCAACUGCCACUGGUCAGCCAUUCCACAGGUCAUUCUUGAGCACCAGCUAUGUACCAGGCACAGUGGUAGCAACUGGGGAACAUCAAGAUGAACAAGGGUCUUGCCUCAGGAAGUGAACAUUCUAGUGAGGGAAACAGAUAAACUAAAAAAGUAAAAAUAUUUACAGGUGCCCUGAAGGAAAUAAACAGGGCCUUUUGAGAGACAAUAACAGGUAGUUUUAUUUUGGAAAAUGUAGUCUGAGGAAGUGAAAUCUUUUUUUUUUAGACAGGGAGUCUUGCUCUGUUGCCCAGGCAAGAGAGCAGUGGUGCGAUCAUGGCUCACUGCAGCUUUGAACUCCUGGGCUCAAGCCUCAGCCUUCCAAGUAGCUGGAACUACAGGUGCAUGCCACCACACACCUGUGGUGUCUUAAUUUCGUAACUUUUUUUUUUUUCCCUAAGAGACAGGGUAUCACUAUGUUGUCCAG
rnacentral:lncRNA from 1 species